UGGCGAACGGGUGAGUAAUACAUCGGAACGUGUCCUGUAGUGGGGGAUAGCCCGGCGAAAGCCGGAUUAAUACCGCAUACGACCUGAGAGGGGGGAAAGCGGGGGAUCUUCGGACCUCGCGCUGUAGGGGCGGCCGAUGGCAGAUUAGCUAGUUGGUGGGGUAAAGGCCUACCAAGGCGACGAUCUGUAGCUGGUCUGAGAGGACGACCAGCCGCACUGGGACUGAGACACGGCCCAGACUCCUACGGGAGGCAGCAGUGGGGAAUUUUGGACAAUGGGCGCAAGCCUGAUCCAGCAAUGCCGCGUGUGUGAAGAAGGCCUUCGGGUUGUAAAGCACUUUUGUCCGGAAAGAAAACUUCGGGGCUAAUACCCCUGGAGGAUGACGGUACCGGAAGAAUAAGCACCGGCUAACUACGUGCCAGCAGCCGCGGUAAUACGUAGGGUGCGAGCGUUAAUCGGAAUUACUGGGCGUAAAGCGUGCGCAGGCGGUCUGUUAAGACCGAUGUGAAAUCCCCGGGCUCAACCUGGGAACUGCAUUGGUGACUGACAGGCUUGGAGUGUGGCAGAGGGAGGUAGAAUUCCACGUGUAGCAGUGAAAUGCGUAGAGAUGUGGAGGAAUACCGAUGGCGAAGGCAGCCUCCUGGGUCAACACUGACGCUCAUGCACGAAAGCGUGGGGAGCAAACAGGAUUAGAUACCCUGGUAGUCCACGCCCUAAACGAUGUCAACUAGUUGUUGGGGAUUCAUUUCCUUAGUAACGUAGCUAACGCGUGAAGUUGACCGCCUGGGGAGUACGGUCGCAAGAUUAAAACUCAAAGGAAUUGACGGGGACCCGCACAAGCGGUGGAUGAUGUGGAUUAAUUCGAUGCAACGCGAAAAACCUUACCUACCCUUGACAUGGUCGGAAGUCUGCUGAAAGGCGGAUGUGCUCCAAAGAGAACCGACGCACAGGUGCUGCAUGGCUUGUCGUCAGCUCGUGUCGUGGAGAUGUUGGGGUUAAGUCCCGCAACGAAGCGCAACCCUUGUCCUUAGUUGGCUACGCAAGAAGCACUCUAAGGAGACUGGCCGGUGACAAACCGGAAGGAAGGUGGGGAUGACCGUCAAGUCCGCAUGG
rnacentral:rRNA from 1 species